GAUGACAAGUGCCAUCCAAAUUAAUCCCUUCCUAUUCCCAGGGUGUAAGCAUAAAAGGACGUUUGAACAGACUGUAUCCAGAGUGAAUACAGAGAAACACGACUCUCCCUUGAAUGUUCUGCUCACUCAGAGGAGUUCACCUGAACACCUUAAUAUUCUGAAGAGUCAUGAGAAAGAUACCAUCUUUUUCCUGCAGAGCUGUGAAAAAGUGUUGACGUGUGUGAYGUACUGCGAGGAGCUCAGCUGA
rnacentral:lncRNA from 1 species